rnacentral:tRNA from 1 species
UGGGGUAUGGCUCAGUGAAAGAGUGCUUGCCUAGCAUGCAUGAGGCGUUGGGUUCGAUCCCAGCACCACAU